CUCUCUCUUGCAGUGGAGGCCAAUUUAAGUCCCUCUAUUCACUAGGGGGCGCCUGUCCCAUAUAAGAAAACCCUAGACAAGUGAUGACAAAUCUAAGUCAGGAGUGACGCUUACACUUCCUCCAUGCUCCACCUGGAAAAUAAUCUGUUUAUUUGCACUUUUGAGCUGUCCAAACAUACGUCCGGAACCAGAGCCCUAGAACUUACCUGCUCUGAAGUCCUCUUACCCAACAUGGAGACUAGCAAUCCAACACUCAGUUCACAAGUGGUUUACAAGUACCAGUGACUAACCAGCACCAAAGGCCACCUGGUGUGUUUGUGCAACGGGAAGGAGACUUGCAUGGCCACUCACUUGCGGUGACAGCCAUUUAACCAAGAUCUUGGUGGCAUCAUGACGACAACAUCAAACAUGAGUAUCCAUAGUAUCUGCAAAAUUUUGAGAACAGAGAAUUCAUUGGUGUGGACUGAAUCCAAAUAAGAUCAUAGAUUUUAAGAAGAGCAGCUAGGAAGAUAGUGGGUUACAAGGCAAAGCAUCCUGGACCAGGAAUCAAGAGGCCUCAGUCCAGCUCUGACCCUCAGUCAUUUCACAGCAGGUGAGAGAAACAUGCAAUUCUUCCAAUAAAUGGUCUUAAAAGGAGAGCCCAAGAGAUGCUGCACAGCAAUUUUCGGCUUCCCAGAAGCAGCAGACGUGCAUAAGAGUCCUCAAAAGGAGCCUUGAUCUGCACCAGCACUGAGGAGGACAACAUGAACCUAUGCUUACAUUUUGGGGGAAAUAACUGGGAAGGAGAAGAGAGAAGGCCUUAGAGAAGGAGUUAUCCCUACACAGUAAUAAGAGUUAGUUAUCAUAUUCAUCUUUGUAUCUGUGGUACUAAGAGCAGUGCCUGGAUGACUAGAUAGUCAAUAUAGAUGGCAAAUGUUGAGUGAGUGGAUGGAUGGAUAAGUAGAUAUGAUAGAUAUAUCUAGAAAAUAGAGACUAAAGGAAUGUAUCACAAUCUCUUUCAGGCCUGUUAACUUGACAAGAUUGCCGGUGGUGACGGGAAUAGUGACCGGCUCUACACACACGCACGCCAGGCAUCUUAGCUCAUCUAAUCACCAGUGCCACCCUCCACUCUCCUGGCAACCAUUUGCCAAAAAUAAAUAAGCCCAUAGCACUAUGAAGAUUGAGCUUUACUAAUUUACUAGCUAGGAAAAAGUAGGUUAUAGUUUCUGGUGAAUAUUUAUAAAAAUCUCUAUUCACUAUAACUGAUACUUAAGGAUUUUAUUCAAAAUUGUGUAGCAGUACAGAAGUAAAUGAGCAGACAUUUCAUCUGAGUAGAAAAGUGGGGGCUAAAGAGUAAAGCUGAAUAAUAACAGAGUUAGAAAGAAUAAGAAGGCAAAAAAUAAAACAUUGUGACUACAAAACAACUAAAACCAAGCGAUGAUUGCUUGAAAUGUGUGAAUAUGCCCUGACUGGCUGUGAGUGACACAGUAUCUGUCCUCCUUGAUAUCACGGAGCACAAAUCCUGUAAAACUCCAUGUGACUAGUAAGGAAAGCAGAAGCUAACGCUACCUUACCCGGUAUUUGGGUAUUUCCAACUUACUGCUUCCUAUUCCACAGGCUUUAAAUAAUUAUACAAUGAGAAGAUGUAAGUAGAAGUAGCUGGCAUCCUACAACUCCUAUAAAAGUAAUGUAAAUGAGUGACAUCUGUGUAUCUUUUGACACAAAUGCUCACCAAUAAAUGCAGAAGAAGGGAUAAGAGUAAAAAGCCAAGAUUUUCCAACCACCAUAGUAAUUGAUUCUGGCUAGAAUUAUCAAUGGAUGCUAAAAUGAUUGGUUGAAGGAUUGUUAAGGAACAAGAUAUUCACACAAUCUGAAACAUCAUUCCAGGGAUCAUAUUACUUACAAAGGGAAAAGGAAGUUUGAGAAUGGAAAACUGGCAGACAGUACCUUAACCAAAUGAUCAAGUUAACAUGACCAGCAAUGGGACAUACUGAUACCACAUGCCUCCUGCAGCGAGGCACUGAAAGGAUACCAGGCCUGCAAUCCUGCGUGGCACCACGGCUCCGAAAGGGCAGCAGAAAGCUGCUACACAGAGCUGCUUCAUGAGGCUUUCAGGGAAACCAUUAGGUUGAGUCAAAAAAUGGAAUGCUGGUGAGAGUUUUGGGAGUAAGUUUCAGCAAAACUUAUUGACAGCAGGAAUUUUGCGGAGACUGUGUGUCCUCUCAGGAAACUGGCGUUCAUAUGAAAAUAGUUCUCAGCUGCUUGAGGAGCAGCAGCAUAACAAAUCUGCAAGGGUCUCCAUGGCCAAUUCAAACCUCUCUGCUCUCGUGAAGGCCAGGGUCAGCGCCCUGCUCCAAGUACUCGUCCUGCAUCUCUACCACCAGGAGCUUACUGAUGAUGUCCUUCCCAGCGCCUUUGAACAAGACAACUUUUAGCCAAGAAAGAUUUCCUAGGCCAGUGCUUCACACACUUUCAUGUGCACACAAGCCCCUGGGAAUCUUGUUAAAUUGCAGACUUCAAUUCAGUGUGUCUGGCAUGGAGCCUAAGAUUUUGUAUUUCUAACAAGUUCCCAGACCUGGCCUUGCCACUCACUGAAUUCUUGGAACACUGCUGUGGUCAUGUGAAGAAGCCCAGUUAGCUUCCUUGAAGAUGAAAGACCACAUGGGAGGAGAAGCCAGCCAUCUCAGCCUCCCAGCUGAGAGCAGCCCCAAGCCCACGGACUCAUGGAAUGCAGCUACCUGAGCAAACCCAGAGACCAAAAGAUUACUUUCACUUUCUUGUUCUCUUUCUCAUUUGUAGGUUAACUGAGUUACUUAUAUGGGAAAAACCUAUAAAUUAAAGUAUUCUUAAUAAACUUAUA